UAUUUUCUUCCGCGUAUAUCUCUGCAAGUCGAGCGGAACGAGUUAUCUGUACCUUCGGGGAACGAUACGGCGUCGAGCGGCGGACGGGUGAGUAAUGCCUAGGAUAUUGCCCUGAUGUGGGGGAUAACCAUUGGAAACGAUGGCUAAUACCGCAUGAUGCCUACGGGGCAAAGAGGGGGACCUUCGGGCCUCUCGCGUCAGGAUAUGCCUAGGUGGGAUUAGCUAGUUGGUGAGGUAAGGGCUCACCAAGGCGACGAUCCCUAGAUGGUCUGAGAGGAUGAUCAGCCACACUGGAACUGAGACACCGUCCAGACUCCUACGGGAGGCAGCAUUGGGGAAUAUUGCACAAUGGGCGCAAGCCUGAUGCAGCCAUGCCGCAUGUGUGAAGAAGGCCUUCGGGUUGUAAAGCACUUUCAGUCGUGAGGAAGGUAGAGUCGUUAAUAGCUGCAUUAUUUGACGUUAACGACAGAAGAAGCACCGGCUAACUCCGUGCCAGCAGCCGCGGUAAUACGGAGGGUGCGAGCGUUAAUCGGAAUUACUGGGCGUAAAGCGCAUGCAGGUGGUUUGUUAAGUCAGAUGUGAAAGCCCGGGGCUCAACCUCGGAAUUGCAUUUGAAACUGGCAGACUAGAGUACUGUAAAAAGGGGGAAAAAAUUUCAA
rnacentral:rRNA from 1 species